rnacentral:rRNA from 1 species
AUAGCGUAUAUUAAAGUUGUUGCAGUUAAAAAGCUCGUAGUUGGAUUUCGGAAGGUCUUUAGUGGUCCGCCCCUUCGGGGAGCGGGUCACUGGCCUCCUAUGUUCCUAACGGUCCUCAUCCGCGAGGGUGGGGAAUCAACCGCUAGGAUCGUUUACUUUGAGGAAAUUAGAGUGUUCAAAGCAGGCGUAACUCGCCUCCGAAUACGUUAGCAUGGGAUAAUGGAAUACGACUUCGGUCUUGUUUCGUUGGUUUCGCUUGGCUGAAGUAAUGAUUGAUAGGGACAGUUGGGGGCAUUAGUAUUUAGUUGUCAGAGGUGAAAUUCUAGGAUUUA